rnacentral:rRNA from 1 species
UGGCGGCAGGCUUAACACAUGCAAGUCGAACGGGCACCUUCGGGUGUCAGUGGCAGACGGGUGAGUAACACGUGGGAACGUACCCUUCGGUUCGGAAUAACUCAGGGAAACUUGAGCUAAUACCGGAUACGCCCUUUUGGGGAAAGGUUUACUGCCGAAGGAUCGGCCCGCGUCUGAUUAGCUUGUUGGUGGGGUAACGGCCUACCAAGGCGACGAUCAGUAGCUGGUCUGAGAGGAUGAUCAGCCACACUGGGACUGAGACACGGCCCAGACUCCUACGGGAGGCAGCAGUGGGGAAUAUUGGACAAUGGGCGCAAGCCUGAUCCAGCCAUGCCGCGUGAGUGAUGAAGGCCUUAGGGUUGUAAAGCUCUUUUGUCCGGGACGAUAAUGACGGUACCGGAAGAAUAAGCCCCGGCUAACUUCGUGCCAGCAGCCGCGGUAAUACGAAGGGGCUAGCGUGCUCGGAAUCACUGGGCGUAAAGGGCGCGUAGGCGGCCGAUUAAGUCGGGGGUGAAAGCCUGUGGCUCAACCACAGAAUUGCCUCGAUACUGGGUUGGGCUGAGACCGG